GAGAUUCACAGCGUGCAGUGCGCUGGUUAACUACAUGAAAAGCCUUAAUGCGCAUUCAUAUGCAUUAGCCUUUUUUCAAACCGUAAAAUUGCCUGAACAGGCGUCUAUGACGCUUGUACAGGCGUUAGUGCGACCCCUGCUUUGCAUUGUUGGUUUUCCA